rnacentral:rRNA from 1 species
AACAAACGCUGGCGGCGUGCCUAACACAUGCAAGUCGUACGAGAAAGGGUCCUUCGGGAUCUGAGUAAAGUGGCGCACGGGUGAGUAACGCGUGGAUAAUCUGCCCCUCAGUUGGGAAUAACUCAUCGAAAGGUGGGCUGAUACCGAAUAAUACUGUGAGACUUUGGUCGAUCAGUCAAAGAGAGCCUCUGCUUGCAAGCCCUCGCUGAAGGAUGAGUCCGCGUACUAUUAGCUUGUUGGUAGGGUAAUGGCCUACCAAGGCGACGAGGGUUGGCGGGUCUGAGAUGAUGAUCAGCCACACUGGAACUGAGACACGGUCCAGACUCCUACGGGAGGCAGCAGUGAGGAAUCUUGCGCAAUGGGGGCAACCCUGACGCAGCAACGCCGCGUGAGUGAGGAAGGUCUUCGGAUCGUAAAGCUCUGUCAGUUGGGAAGAACCACCUAAGAGUGAAUACCUCUUAGGCUUGACGGUACCAACAGAGGAAGCACCGGCUAACUCCGUGCCAGCAGCCGCCGUAACAC